rnacentral:lncRNA from 1 species
UUUAAAAGAGAGAUUGUCACUUCAUUAUUGUGGCACAGUAAUAUCUAUCGUCAGUUUUAACACUAGGCAAAUUACCAUGUGGAAGGAACUAUGUGUGAUAUUAGUUAUUUCUGUUUCAAUCGUUUCUUCACUAAAGGUAGAGAUAAUAUUUACUUAAGAAAUUUUGGAGUUUAUUUUUAACAAGAAUUACAAAAAUAUGCUACUUUCGAUGAUUCCAAUGAAAGUCAAUAAACAAAUAUUUUUCCGUAACAUGGAGGUAUAUAUACGGAUUUUUUUUAUUUUUAGAUAAUUUUAAUUAUCUUAACAGAGAAUAUGGGUUAUUCAUGGUUAAUAUACGUGUGUCUGUUCUCCAUGGAACUAUGGUUGAUCCAACAGUUAUAAUAUCCUUCAACAGGUGUAUGUUUGGUGAAGUAAAUUCGCAUUUUUUUACCUGGAGGUAGAAAAAGUUAAGUGAUUCGAUUGAUUUAAUAAUUUUUAUACUGUUAAUUUACAGAAAAUAAACAUAGUCAGUACAUGCAGUAAUGGUAUCAUCAGCAAAGUAGUUAGCACAUCUGUUUGGACACUAACUCAUUGAAAGGGGUACAAAAUUUGUUCUCGAAACACCAAUGCCCGCAUUUUUUAUUGAUUAAAAAUUUUAGUCUGUUGUACGUCAGACGACCGUUUUGACUACAUGAGACCUCUCAAUGGCUUUAAAUUAAAACAGUCGAAAUGACAACUUUCGAAUAUUUACAAAUAUAUCAAUAAUUCCCGAAGUGUAUACAAUUGCCAAAUUUCAGAGCUUAUGAGAUAGUAUAUGGAUAGUGGUUUUAUAAUUCAGGUUCAAUGUAGACAUGAUACGGAAUGUGGUUUAGACGAGUGUUGCUAUUAUCAUGAAGGUCCAAUGAUUGUAAGCAAGAGACGAUCUAUUUUACCUGUCUCUGGUAUGAUUCAAGGUCAGUACUCGUUUAUCACAAGAUAUUAUUUCAAAAAUCACACUAGCUACCUUAUAUUGUGAUUGCUUGAUCAGUUGACAGUGUAUUACACUAGUAAUUUUGGUUUUACACUUGUAAUUUUGGUUUUACACUAGAAAUUUUGGUUUUACACUAGUAAUUUUGGUUUUACACUAGAAAUUUUGGUUUUACACUAGAAAUUUUGGGACCCUUUAUAUCUUGUUGUUUGGUGUGAGCCACGGCUCUUUGUUGAAGGCCGUACCUUGACCAAAUAAUGGUUUAUUUUUAUAAAUUGUUAUUUGGAUGGAGAGUUGUCUCAUUGGCACACAUCUUCUUAUAUCUAUGUAGAAUUUGUUUAAGUCUAUGUUCGACACUUAUGUGAUUUUUGUUGAAUAGUUUGAUUGUUAAUUUUGUUUUUCCUAUCUGAUGACUUAAAAACAUGAUAGAUAUUCUUUAUAGUUUAUCUAUAUUACAAACAGAUAUGGCAUGGUUCCUUGGUAAAUUUCAUAUUUAAAGCUCGAUUGUUCAAUCAUAACUACUAUCAUGCCUUUCCAGUAUAUUUGAAAAUAAAUGUAGUCACGUAGCUAUAAAAUGAGGGAUAAUAACAGAGUAACUGUUUAUGCUAAUAAGAAAAUAUAUAUAUAAAGGCAACAGUUGUAUAUCGCUGUUCGAAAUUCAUAAAUCGACUGAGAAAAAAAACAAAUCCGGUUGCAAACUAAAACUGAAGGAAACACAUCAAAAUAUAAGAGGAGAACUACGACACAACAGAAACACAACACUUAAAUGUAAUACACACAGAAGCGAACUAUAAUAUACCAAUGGCCAUUUUCCUGACUUAGUACAGGACAUUUUAAGAAAAAAAUGGUGGGUUUGAACCUGGUUUUGUGGCUAGCCAAACCUUGCGCGUUUAUAGCAAUGUUAAACAUAACACUGAGAUGACACCAUUACAUGACAUGAAUGCAGUUCAAAUAAAUGCAAGAACAUUCAGGACAGAAAACUACGCAAUUAACAAUAUAAUGUAGUACAUUUCGACAACGAAGCAACAGAAACACUGAAGUGAACAAAAAAAACGACAAUGACCCACCAUGAACACACACAGAAACAAACUAUACGGUAACAAUUGCAACUUCCUGACUUGGUACAGAACAUUUUUUUAGAACAAAUGGUGGGUUGAACCUGGUUUAUAAUGGUUUUUGUAAUUUCUAUUUGUACACAAAUCGCAGUGGGUCAAUUUGGGGUAUGUGCUAGGAGAACAUAUACAGAGUUUUUAUUUACAUAAAAUGCUAUUGUUACACAAGAAAAUUAUAUAUUUGUAAAUAAGACUAAACCUUUAAUAAAAACUUGUACUGUUAUCGAUACAAUUACAUUUAAAACUGAAACUGAUGGAUAGGUAUAUUUUCAAAGUCGAAAAAAACUUAUCGUUUGCCUUUAUUUUAUUUUGAAGAUUGACAGUAUAAGUCAUAACUAAAACUUGUAGUGAAAAUGAACAAUUUGCUCAAUUUGGUAUGUUAAAAUGCAAUGUAAACUUUAGCAAAAAAAAAUCAUUUUUUUUAUUUGAUAUGACUUGUAGAUCAAAAUAUUCUUCUUCCUUUUUCUUUUUCUUCUUUUUUGUUCAGUCGGUUAUUGGUUAUUGGUCUGAUCUAGUCGAAGACAAACUGACAACCAUUACCUUUAUCACACUAAUAGAAGUUUUAUGAUUCCACUAAAAGUAUCGACUUCCUUUCAAAAGCACAUAUUCUUUACAUUAUCCCAUCCCUGUGGUAUCCACAAAAAAAAAGAUUUUUAAACGUAAACAUAAAAUGACCUACUUGUUAUGAUUUAUAAAAACAAAAAUGGCAAAUGUUGUAUGAUUGCCUAUGAAAAUGAUUUGACACGAAACCAAUAGAGUGGAUAUUAGUAUUUUUCAGUAAACAUACGGCCUUCAGCGAUGUGCCAACACAUAAUGGAAAGUCAGCUAUAAAAGGUCCCGUAAUGAAAAAAAAACAUGAAAGAAUUCAACCGAAAUUUACGCACUCACUUUUGACAAACAAUUUACGGAAAAAAUUCCUCGAUGCUCUUCAACUUUGUACUAGUUUGGCUUUAUAAAUAUUUUGAUAUGAGCGUCACUGAUGAGUCUUAUGUAAACGAACCACGGGUCUGGCGUACUAAAUUAUAAUCCUGGUACCUUUGAUAACUAUUUUAAACCACUGGGUCGAUGCCACUGCUGGUGGACGUUUCGUUCCCGAGGGUAUCACCAGCCCAGUAGUCAACACUUCGGUGUUGACAUGAAUAGAAUGGAAUUCAAAACAGUGUGGCUGUGGCCAUUGAUUGACACAUUAAAUUCAUCAUUGACUGGGACAAUUUACGUGAACGUUUGUCUGUAACGACCACUGUUCACGACGUACCUACGAUAGACAUUUAAACUGUGGGGUCACCAAAGGUUUCUUAACGCCUUUAAUUAUAAAAUAAUUCGAAAAAUUAAUCAGGAAUAACCUUUAUGUUUUGAUAUAUAUAAUUGAUGUAAAUCAAAACAUCGUGUUAUUUCUAAUUUUUCGAAUUACUUUAUUAAGGUAUUGAGAACCUUUGGUGGCCCCAUAGUUUAAGUGUCUUUAAAAAGUACAUAGUGAGAAGUGGUCGUUACAUACAAACGUUCACCUAAAUUGUCCCAGUCAAUGGAUGAAUUUAAUGUGUCAAUCAAUGGCCACAGCCACACUGUUUUGAAUUUCAUUCUAUCAAUAAUGUGGUCAUUUUUAUAAAUUUCCUGUUUACAAAACUUUGAUUGCUUCGAAAAACUAAGGAUUUUCUUAUUCCAGGGAUAGAUUACCUUAACCGUAUUUGGCACAACUUUUUGGAAUUUUGGAUCCUCAAUGCUCUUCAACUUUGUACUAGUUUGGCUUUAUAAAUAUUUUGAUAUGAGCGUCACUGAUGAGUCUUAUGUAGACGAAACGCGCGUCUGGCGUACUAAAUUAUAAUCCUGGUACCUUUGAUAACUAUAUAUGGCAACUAAUGACAACCAUCUACUGACCUGUUCCCCACUUCCAGCAGGUACAUAGAAAUGUGGCGGUGUUAAAAACAUGAUUGUAAGGACUUAAAAUACCUUUUUAAAAAAUGAGAAUAUGGUCUAACUACAACAUACGAACACAAGAAAAAAAGAGAAAAAAAACAACAUUAGAAAUAGUUUGACUCAUCGAAUUGGAACGCAACACAAAAACUGACUAACAAGUUUAAGCUUUCUUAAAAGCUGUGGACUGCUUCGCUUUAUCCUAAUUUAAUGUAGUAUGUGUGCAUGUGGUAUUUUAGAUAGUUGAUUAACAUUAAAUGGAUUUACUUUGAGAGUGUGCGUUAUGAGUGUGCCUCUCUGGAGUUGUGCCUAAUUAAACAGAAGUUAUAAAAUACAGAUAAAGCUUUUUUGAAAACGUUGUAUAUGAACAUUGUUUAGCAUAACAAAUCGUGCGUAUUGCAGAUUGACAAAGCAUAUGAACGUGUAUUGAUAACUGAUAAUCCAAUGUUGAAUUUAAGUGUGCAAUAUAUGCAUAAAAAAACGAAAAUGAAUUAAUGACAGUUGAUCGGAACUGAUAUAUACACGUAGUUAUUUAUCCGGCUUUUAAUGACUUAUCCUGAACGAGAAAAGUCUGUAAUUCUUUAUCUCAUUUAAACCAAUGGCUGCUGCUGAUUCUCAGCCGUAUCAUAAAGUAACCAAUCAGUGAUAAGUAAUUAUUUCAAGAUGGCAUGUAUGUUUACUGAAACUAAUAGCUCCGCACCGUGAUGCGAAGCAAUAAGAGUUUCUUUUGAUAAAACACGGUUACUGUUAUUGUUUAUUUAUUGUUCUUUUUUAUGUAUUUAGGUGGGUGGUGUGAAAAGUACAAAAGUGAUGGUCAAUCUUGCAGUGGGAUUGCUAAGAUGAAUGGUCAUUGUGAGUGUGGACCAGGCCUGACUUGUACUGUUGUCAGCACACAUACAAAAUUUCAUAAACGAGACGAAUUGCCUGCAACAUGCUUACGAAGUCAAACAUAAGAUCAAAAGCACCUAUAGCUAUAAAUUUGUAGAUUCUUCCUAUACAUAAUAACAAAAUAAAUAAAAUAUGCCUUAUUCAGAG